GACGAACGCUGGCGGCGUGCUUAACACAUGCAAGUCGAACGGAAAGGCCCUGCUUUUGGGGGGUGCUCGAGUGGCGAACGGGUGAGUAACACGUGAGUAACCUGCCCUUGACUUUGGGAUAACUUCAGGAAACUGGGGCUAAUACCGGAUAGGAGCUCCUGCUGCAUGGUGGGGGUUGGAAAGUUUCGGCGGUUGGGGAUGGACUCGCGGCUUAUCAGCUUGUUGGUGGGGUAGUGUCUUACCAAGGCUUUGACGGGUAGCCGGCCUGAGAGGGUGACCGGCCACAUUGGGACUGGGAUACGGCCCAGCCUCCUACGGGAGGCAGCAGUGGGGAAUAUUGCACAAUGGGCGGAAGCCUGAUGCAGCAACGCCGCGUGCGGGAUGACGGCCUUGGGGUUGUAAACCGCUUUCGCCUGUGACGAAGCGUGAGUGACGGUAAUGGGUAAAGAAGCACCGGCUAACUACGUG
rnacentral:rRNA from 1 species